rnacentral:rRNA from 1 species
AUUGAACGCUGGCGGCAGGCCUAACACAUGCAAGUCGAGCGGAUGAAGAGAGCUUGCUCUCUGAUUCAGCGGCGGACGGGUGAGUAAUGCCUAGGAAUCUGCCUGGUAGUGGGGGACAACGUUUCGAAAGGAACGCUAAUACCGCAUACGUCCUACGGGAGAAAGUGGGGGAUCUUCGGACCUCACGCUAUCAGAUGAGCCUAGGUACGAUUAGCUAGUUGGUGAGGUAAAGGCUCACCAAGGCGACGAUCGUUAACUGGUCUGAGAGGAUGAUCAGUCACACUGGAACUGAGACACGGUCCAGACUCCUACGGGAGGCAGCAGUGGGGAAUAUUGGACAAUGGGCGAAAGCCUGAUUCAGCCAUGCCGCGUGUGUGAAGAAGGUCUUCGGAUUGUAAAGCACUUUAAGUUGGGAGGAAGGGCAGUAAGUUAAUACCUUGCUGUUUUGACGUUACCGACAGAAUAAGCACCGGCUAACUUCGUGCCAGCAGCCGCUGUAAUAC